rnacentral:lncRNA from 1 species
UAAGUUUGAGAAAUUGUUGAAAUGUUGUUGAUUUUAUCCUCGAUUUUGGAAAUUAGUUUACAAGUAUUUUCGAUUUAUGUUGUCUUAGAUUGAAAUAAGAAGGUUGUGAAGAAAAGGCGAGUUUUUUUUUUGUUUACUCGAUCAUUUACUCCAGUUCUUUUCGAUCCAUAUAGUUUCAUUUGUGUUUAGUUUGCUUCUCGAUUUGUGUAGUUUGUUGCAUUUUCAAUUCUAUUUUGU